rnacentral:rRNA from 1 species
AACGAACGCUGGCGGCAUGCCUAACACAUGCAAGUCGAACGAGACCUUCGGGUCUAGUGGCGCACGGGUGCGUAACGCGUGGGAACCUGCCUUUAGGUUCGGAAUAACUCAGAGAAAUUUGAGCUAAUACCGGAUGAUGUCUUCGGACCAAAGAUUUAUCGCCUUUAGAUGGGCCCACGUUGGAUUAGCUAGUUGGUGGGGUAAAGGCCUACCAAGGCGACGAUCCAUAGCUGGUCUGAGAGGAUGAUCAGCCACACUGGGACUGAGACACGGCCCAGACUCCUACGGGAGGCAGCAGUGGGGAAUAUUGGACAAUGGGCGAAAGCCUGAUCCAGCAAUGCCGCGUGAGUGAUGAAGGCCUUAGGGUUGUAAAGCUCUUUUACCCGAGAUGAUAAUGACAGUAGCGGGAGAAUAAGCGCCGGCUAACUCCGUG